rnacentral:rRNA from 1 species
UGGGGAAUAUUGCGCAAUGGGCGAAAGCCUGACGCAGCGACGCCGCGUGGGUGAUGAAGGCCUUCGGGUCGUAAAACCCUGUCGGGAGGGACGAAACCUCGGCGACCUAAUACGUCGCCGACUUGACGGUACCUCCAAAGGAAGCACCGGCUAACUCCGUGCCAGCAGCCGCGGUAAUACGGAGGGUGCAAGCGUUGUUCGGAAUCACUGGGCGUAAAGCGCGUGUGGGCGGCCUCUUAAGUCUGGUGU